rnacentral:rRNA from 1 species
GAGUUUGAUCCUGGCUCAGGAUGAACGCUGACAGAAUGCUUAACACAUGCAAGUCGACUGGAAUUCACUUUCGGGUGAUAGUACGGUGGCGGACGGGUGAGUAACGCGUAAAGAACUUGCCCUCUAGACUGGGACAACUGUUGGAAACGACAGCUAAUACCGGAUAUUAUGGAACUGUGACAUCGCAGAUCUAUGAAAGGCUAUAUGCGCUAGAGGAGAGCUUUGCGUCCCAUUAGCUAGUUGGUAGGGUAAUGGCCUACCAAGGCGACGAUGGGUAGCCGGCCUGAGAGGGUGAUCGGCCACAAGGGGACUGAGACACGGCCCUUACUCCUACGGGAGGCAGCAGUGGGGAAUAUUGGACAAUGGACCAAAAGUCUGAUCCAGCAAUUCUGUGUGCACGAUGAAGGUCUUCGGAUCGUAAAGUGCUUUCAGGUGGGAAGAAGCAAGUGACGGUACCACCAGAAGAAGCGACGGCUAAAUACGUGCCAGCAGCCGCGGUAAUAC